rnacentral:rRNA from 1 species
UACAGAGGUCUCAAGCGUUGUUCGGAUUCAUUGGGCGUAAAGGGUGCGUAGGUGGCAUGGUAAGUCGGAUGUGAAAUCCCGGGGCUCAACCCCGGAACUGCAUUCGAUACUGCUGCGCUAGAGUACUGGAGAGGAGAUUGGAAUUUACGGUGUAGCAGUGAAAUGCGUAGAUAUCGUAAGGAAGACCAGUGGCGAAGGCGGAUCUCUGGACAGUUACUGACACUGAGGCGCGAAAGCGUGGGGAGCAAACAGG